rnacentral:rRNA from 1 species
UACGUAGGGGGCAAGCGUUGUCCGGAUUUAUUGGCGUAAAGAGCGUGUAGGCGCCAGACAGGUCCGUUGUGAAAACUCGAGGCUCAACCUCGAGACGCCGAUGGAAACCGUCUGGCUAGAGUCCGGAAGAGGAGAGUGGAAUUCCGUGGUGUAGCGGUGAAAUGCGCAGAUAUCAGGAAGAACACCCGUGGCUAAGGCGGCUCUCUAGUACGGUACUGACGCUGAGACGCGAAAGCGUGGGGAGCGAACAGG